AAAUUGAAGAGUUUGAUCAUGGCUCAGAUUGAACGCUGGCGGCAGGCCUAACACAUGCAAGUCGAGCGGAAACGAGUUAUCUGAACCUUCGGGGAACGAUAACGGCGUCGAGCGGCGGACGGGUGAGUAAUGCCUAGGAAAUUGCCCUGAUGUGGGGGAUAACCAUUGGAAACGAUGGCUAAUACCGCAUGAUGCCUACGGGCCAAAGAGGGGGACCUUCGGGCCUCUCGCGUCAGGAUAUGCCUAGGUGGGAUUAGCUAGUUGGUGAGGUAAGGGCUCACCAAGGCGACGAUCCCUAGCUGGUCUGAGAGGAUGAUCAGCCACACUGGAACUGAGACACGGUCCAGACUCCUACGGGAGGCAGCAGUGGGGAAUAUUGCACAAUGGGCGCAAGCCUGAUGCAGCCAUGCCGCGUGUGUGAAGAAGGCCUUCGGGUUGUAAAGCACUUUC
rnacentral:rRNA from 1 species